AUCAAAACAACUGACUUCUCUUUAAGUCUUAUUUCUGCCCCAGGAACCUGUCCUUGAUCCACCACCUUCUGUUCCAGGCACACAGACUUCCUGUCAGUUCUUGGUCAAGCAAGUUCUCGUCCACCUGAGGACCUUGUCCUUGCCUGUUCUUCCGUCUGCCUGGAAGGCUUUCUUCUGUCUUCUGUGCCUGGCUCCUUCCCCACCUUCCGGCCUCACUUGAGAUGUGAUCUUCUCUGACCAUCUUAGCUGAAGUUGGCCUCCUCUCCCUUAAUCUCCAUUGAGCUAAACAGUUUCUUUCAUCUAGAACUUACUAUAGUAAUUAUGUGUUUACUAGUUCACUGUCUGGAAUCGUUUACCCUAGAGCAGUCUACGAUGUAAAGCCAGGAUGGUCAAACUACAGCGCAAGCUUUGUUUUUGCAAAGCUCUGGAGCUUCCCUCUCUGCUGGUCACUCAUUCUUCUCUCUCCUGCUGCCAUAUGAAAAAGGACCCGUUUCCUUCCCCUUCUGCCAUGAUUGGACCUGGGAGUGCGACAUGGUGGCCUCAGGGGAAAAGGGCUCUCGUCUAGACCUUCUGACUGUCCUCUGGAUCUUCCUGGUGUCCAUGCGGGGCUGCUGCUCUGGGCUGGCCCCAGGGCCUUUGGCCAGUGUCCAUGAGACCCGGAAUUCCAGCAACCAGUUUGACAACUCCUACAGAGAAACAGGAUCCACAUAAGGAUACAGCUUCUUCAUAUCCCUGUCCCAUGACUUCACCCUGCGUUCUUCAACCAAUCAAUGUGUCAGGCCUCUGAGCCCAGGCCUGCACGUAUACAUCCAGAUGGCAUGAAGUAACUGAGGAAUCACAAAAGAAGUGAAACUGGCCGGUUCCUGCCUUAACUGAUGACAUUACCUUGUGAAAUUCCUUCUCCUGGCUCAUCUGGGCUCAGAAGCUCCUCCACUGAGCACCUUGUGACCCCCCACCCCUGUCCGCCAGAGAGCAACCCCCUUUGACUGUAAUUUUCCACUACCUACCCAAAUCCUGUGAAAUGGCCCCACCCCAUCUCCCUUCACUGACUCUAUUUUCGGACUCCGCCCGCCUGCACCCAGGUGAAAUAAACAGCCUUGUUGCUCACACAAAGCCUGUUUGGUGGUCUCUCCACACGGACGCAUGUGACACAAUGAUCCCCACA
rnacentral:lncRNA from 1 species